ACCAAAACAAACAGACUUGAGAAAUAUAACGGAUAUUAUGGUACAUAUUAUACCUUAUGUGGAAAAAUUUUUUGACUUUGAUUUUACAUACCUUAUAUUCAUUAAAACACAGCAAGCAACAGGAAGACAGAACUUCUCUGUCUCCUGAAUCUACACCAACUGUAUAUGGUGGAAGAUCAUACCUGUGUCAAGAUUUGACUUACAACCGACCAUCUGUGCAAUCCUGCACAAGGAACUGGAGAGUUCCUCCUUCAAAUCCUUUACUUCCUUCCAUAAGUAGUAUCAGAAGGAAUGAGCAAACCAAGUACUUCACAGGGAACUUCUGGUGUGAAAACACCCUCUAUACAAGCAGAUAAGAAAUUGGGCCUCAAAAAAAGUCAUUCUUUAAAUAACAAUAAGAAUAGUCUACAAUUCAAGAGAACUGAUCCACAAACAUCUUUGGAAAACUUGUUCACACUCUCUUUUCCAAAAUCUGAACCGUGGGAGGAAGAUGAAGACAAGACUCAUCAGAAACUGGACAGAUUCUCUGUCUCCUGUAUAAUUCUAUUGCUCUUAAUUUUAACAUUUUUCAUUUUUGUCAUUAUUGUUAUGACAUAUUUAUAUUAAACAUAUGAUUUAUACUCAUA